rnacentral:lncRNA from 1 species
UAGGAUGAGGUGAAAAAUAGCAUAUGGACAAACAUUCAGGUAGUAAUUUCAAUUGUUAUCGAUUCUAUUACAUUAUAUAAACACUAAUACAUACUUAUUAUUGUUUUAAAUGUGUAGUUGACGUUUGAAUUUAAUGAUGAUUCAAAGUUGGAAAAAAGAUGGAUAACUUAUGCUGGUACGGCUUGGAGGAGUUUUAAGUCAC